CACCGUAUAGUCUAGCGGUUAGAACGCUGGCCUUGUAAUCCUGGGGUCUCGGGUUCGAUUCCCGGCGGUGC
rnacentral:tRNA from 1 species